GGAGAGAUACUCAAGAGGCCGAAGAGGACGGUUUGCUAAACCGUUAGGGGGUAUCAUUGCCCCGCGAGGGUUCGAAUCCCUCUCUCUCCGCCA
rnacentral:tRNA from 1 species